rnacentral:rRNA from 1 species
ACUCCUACGGGAGGCAACAGUGGGGAAUAUUGCACAAUGGGCGCAAGCCUGAUGCAGCGACGCCGCGUGGGGGAUGAAGGCCUUCGGGUUGUAAACUCCUUUCGCUAGGGACGAAGCUUUUUUGUGACGGUACCUAGAUAAGAAGCACCGGCUAACUACGUGCCAGCAGCCGCGGUAAUACGUAGGGUGCGAGCGUUGUCCGGAAUUACUGGGCGUAAAGGGCUCGUAGGUGGUUUGUCGCGUCGUCUGUGAAAUUCUGGGGCUUAACUCCGGGCGUGCAGGCGAUACGGGCAUAACUUGAGUGCUGUAGGGGUAACUGGAAUUCCUGGUGUAGCGGUGAAAUGCGCAGAUAUCAGGAGGAACACCGAUGGCGAAGGCAGGUUACUGGGCAGUUACUGACGCUGAGGAGCGAAAGCAUGGGUAGCGAACAGGAUUAGAAACCCGUGUAGUCCCAUGA